rnacentral:rRNA from 1 species
AGAGAGUGCGAACGUUGUUCGGAAUUACUGGGCUUAAAGCGCACGUAGGCGGUGCUGUAAGUGUCAGGUGAAAUCCCACGGCUCACCCGUGGAACUGCCUGGCAGACUGCAGUACUAGAGUGUGGUAGGGGAGAGCGGAACUCCUGGUGGAGCGGUGAAAUGCGUAGAUAUCAGGAGGAACACCGGUGGCGAAGGCGGCUCUCUGGUCCACAACUGACGCUGAGGUGCGAAAGCUAGGGGAGCAAACGGGAUUAGAUACCCCGGUAGUCCUAGCUGUAAACGAUGGGCACUAGCUUGGGGUCUCCCUGUGUGAUCCCAGGUGUAGCAAAAGUGAUAAGUGCCCCGCCUGGGGAGUAUGGUCGCAAGGSGKG